UACGGAGGGGGCGAGCGUUAUUCGGAAUUAUUGGGCGUAAAGGGCGCGUAGGCGGCUGUACAAGUCAAAGGUGAAAUCCCUCGGCUCAACUGAGGAACUGCCUUUGAAACUGUACGCUUGAGGCCGGGAGGGGGUAGCGGAAUUCCCAAUGUAGCGGUGAAAUGCGUAGAUAUUAGGAAGAACACCGGUGGCGAAGGCGGCCCACUGGAUCGGUACUGACGCUGAGGUGCGAAAGCGUGGGGAGCAAACAGG
rnacentral:rRNA from 1 species